GACGAGCGCUGGCGGCGCGCCUAACACAUGCAAGUCGAACGAGCGAGGGAGAGCUUGCUUUCUCAAGCGAGUGGCGAACGGGUGAGUAACGCGUGAGGAACCUGCCUCAAAGAGGGGGACAACAGUUGGAAACGACUGCUAAUACCGCAUAAGCCCACGACCCGGCAUCGGGUUGAGGGAAAAGGAGCAAUCCGCUUUGAGAUGGCCUCGCGUCCGAUUAGCUGGUUGGUGAGGUAACGGCCCACCAAGGCGACGAUCCAUAGCCGGCCUGAGAGGGUGAACGGCCACAUUGGGACUGAGACACGGCCCAU
rnacentral:rRNA from 1 species